rnacentral:rRNA from 1 species
CCUACGGGAGACAGCAGUGGGGAAUAUUGCGCAAUGGACGCAAGUCUGACCCAGCAACGCCGCGUGAAGGAAGAAGGCUUUCGGGUUGUAAACCUCUUUUAAGGGGGAAGAGCAGAAGACGGUCCCCCUUGAAUAAGCCACGGCUAACUACGUGACAGCAGCCGCGGUAAUACGUAGGUGGCAAGUGUUGGCCGGAUUUACUGGGUGUAAAGGGCGUGCAGCCGGAGAGACAAGUCAGAUGUGAAAUCCACGGGCUUAACCCGGGAACUGCAUUUGAAACUGUUGCCCUUGAGUGUCGGAGAGGUAAGCGGAAGUCCUAGUGUAGCGGUGAAAUGCGUAGAUAUUAGGAAGAACACCAGUGGCGAAGGCGGAUUACUGGACGAUAACUGACGGUGAGGCGCGAAAGCGUGGGGAGCAAACAGGAUUAGAUACCCGAGUAGUC